rnacentral:rRNA from 1 species
AUUGAACGCUGGCGGAAUGCUUUACACAUGCAAGUCGAACGGCAGCACGGACUUCGGUCUGGUGGCGAGUGGCGAACGGGUGAGUAAUGUAUCGGAACGUGCACAGUCGUGGGGGAAAACGUAGUGAAAAUUACGCUAACACCGCAUACGAUCUAUGGAUGAAAGCGGGGGAUCGCAAGACCUCGCGCGAUUGGAGCGGCCGAUAUCAGAUUAGGUAGUUGGUGGGGUAAAGGCCCACCAAGCCAACGAUCUGUAGCUGGUCUGAGAGGACGACCAGCCACACUGGAACUGAGACACGGUCCAGACUCCUACGGGAGGCAGCAGUGGGGAAUUUUGGACAAUGGGCGAAAGCCUGAUCCAGCCAUUCCGCGUGCAGGAUGAAGGCCCUCGGGUUGUAAACUGCUUUUGUACAGAACGAAAAGGUUUCUACUAAUACUAGGAGCUCAUGACGGUACUGUAAGAAUAAGCACCGGCUAACUACGUGCCAGCCGCCGCGGUAA